UACGGAGGGUGCGAGCGUUAAUCGGAAUUACUGGGCGUAAAGCGCACGUAGGCGGUUUGUUAAGUCGGAUGUGAAAUCCCCCGGGCGUCAACCUGGGAGCUGCAUUCGAUACUGGCAGACUUGAAUACGGUAGAGGGGGGUGGGAAUUCCAGGUGUAGCGGUGAAAUGCGUAGAGAUCUGGAGGAACACCAGUGGCGAAGGCGGCCCCCUGGACCGAUAUUGACGCUGAGGUGCGAAAGCGUGGGGUAGCAAACAGGAUUAGAUACCCUAGUAGU
rnacentral:rRNA from 1 species